rnacentral:rRNA from 1 species
AAUCAACGCUGGCGGCGUGCCUAACACAUGCAAGUCGAACGCGACUGGGGCUUCGGCCUCAGUUGAGUGGCGAACGGGUGAGUAACACGUGGGUGACCUACCUUCGAAUGGGGGAUAACGUCCCGAAAGGGACGCUAAUACCGCAUAACAUCCUGCCUUUGAACAGGCGGAGAUCAAAGCCGGGGAUCGCAAGACCUGGCGUUUGAAGAGGGGCCCGCGUCCGAUUAGCUAGUUGGGAGGU